GGGGAGGCCGGCGGGGAGCAGAGUCGAGCGCCUCCGGAGCAGAGAAAGGAGCCCGCGCCCCGCGCCCCGCGCCCCGCGCGCGGUCCCCAGUCCCUGCCGCGCUCGCCCGGGCCGCCCGGAGCCCAGAUGAGCCCAGAUGGCCGGGGCUCAACCCGGAGUGCACGCCUUGCAACUCAAGCCCGUGUGCGUGUCCGACAGCCUCAAGAAGGGCACCAAAUUCGUCAAGUGGGAUGAUGACUCAACUAUUGUUACUCCAAUUAUUUUGAGGACUGACCCUCAGGGAUUUUUCUUUUACUGGACAGAUCAGAACAAGGAGACAGAGCUACUGGAUCUCAGCCUUGUCAAAGAUGCCAGAUGUGGGAGACACGCCAAAGCUCCCAAGGACCCCAAAUUACGUGAACUUUUGGAUGUGGGGAACAUCGGGCGCCUGGAGCAGCGCAUGAUCACAGUGGUGUAUGGGCCUGACCUCGUGAACAUCUCCCAUUUGAAUCUCGUGGCUUUCCAAGAAGAAGUGGCCAAGGUAUGGUGGAUGGAAAUCGCUAAAGCUUAUCAUCAUGAUCUGAAUCCUUGAGCUAUCAUACUAAUGCCUGCAAAAGACUGAAUUUUUGUCAUAUUUAGCAUGUGUUAAAAUUUCACCUAAAAAUAAUUCAGCUGCCGAGUAUAAGUGCAAUUAAAAUACUUCUAAAUAAUGGCAUCAACUUAAGAA
rnacentral:sRNA from 1 species